AAGUCACUGUGCCACUGUCCACACAAAGGGUAAGACCCUUCGGUAGCACCACCACCAACAACAACAACAACAGUAAGCCAAUGAAGGCAGGGGAGGGAUCUGCCACUGCAGCAGGGAUUCUCAGUCUGCAUACGAAGCUGGCUUGCGGAAACCGUUUCAGCCUGCCUAUUAAGUAUUGCCUACUUUCAACUUUAAAGUGGCUUCACUAUCUGCUGACUUCCAGAAGGAGGGGCACCUUCUCCCUAUCAUCGGAACAACUCUAUGGGUGGACCUAGGAAAUGCAAUGACAGUACCUGGAAGAGCCCUCACUGUUGCUAACAACAUGACCUUUACUGCAAUAUCUUUGUUUACUCUUCGUGACUGACUCAUCCAACUGAAAGCUAAGAAAGACAAUGGUGCGUGAGUUUAACUUACUUUGAAAAGGCUCCACACUGUGCUAACAGAGGUUUUUUUUUUUUUUUUAAAUAAAUAUAUGGCAUGGACUGCCUUAGUUAGGGUUUCUAUUGCUAUGAUAAAGCACCAUUGACCCAAUGCAACUUGAGGUGGAAAGAGUUCACUUCAAUUGGAAGUCCAUCACUGUGAGGACAGGAACUCAGGUCAGGAACUGAAGAAGCCAUGGAGGGAUGCUGCUUACUGGUUUGCUCUGUGUGGCUUGCUCACACUGCUUUCUUAUAGCACCCAGAAACGGCUCCUCAUUGCCGGCACUGAGCUGGGCCCUUCAUCAAUGAAGACAAUACUACCACAAGCUUGUCCUCAGGCCAAUAUGGAGGCAUUUUCUCAAUUGGGGUUCUCUCAUUUCAGAUAUAUCUAGAAUUGUAUCAACUUUGCAAAAUACAACCUGCACAUUUACAAAAGAAAACUAGAAUGGCUCGGAAAGGUGAGGACGCAGCAGCCAAAAGCAGAGCAACGGACAAGGGAAACUGAGGUCUGGGAUCCGUCCAGCAGCUCUGGACUCUCUAGUCAGGAAGUUGAGAGAAAGGCAGCAACUACACAUCAGAGCUGAAGAACACUUGUCAUCCAAGGGUGUUUGUUUCCAGAACUGAGCAGAGCACUGACCUCCCAGUGCAGCAAGCGAAAAUUAACCGAAGCCAAGAAAUAUUAUUAUAAAAUGUU
rnacentral:lncRNA from 1 species